GCAAUACGGAGCGGCAGACGGGAGAGUAACACGUGGGAACGUGCCCUUCAGUUCGGAACAACCCAGGGGAACUUGGACUUUUACAGGAUACGUCCGAAAGGAGAAAGAUUUAUCGCUGAAGGAUCGGCCCGCGUCUGAUUAGCUAGUUGGUGGGGUAAUGGCCCACCAAGGCGACGAUCAGUAGCUGGUCUGAGAGGAUGAUCAGCCUCACUGGGACUGAGACACGGCCCAGACUCCUACGGGAGGCAGCAGUGGGGAAUAUUGGACAAUGGGCGCAAGCCUGAUCCAGCCAUGCCGCGUGGGUGAUGAAGGCCCUAGGG
rnacentral:rRNA from 1 species